rfam:Gracilibacillus halophilus YIM-C55.5 contig_4, whole genome shotgun sequence.
ACGAUGUUCCGCUGUCUAAGGUUAGGCAAGAGCAUUAG